rnacentral:rRNA from 1 species
UACAGAGGGGGCAAGCGUUAUUCGGAAUUAUUGGGCGUAAAGGGCGCGUAGGCGGCUUUGCAAGUGGCGGGUGAAAUCCCUCGGCUUAACCGAGGAACUGCCUGCCAGACUGUGAGGCUUGAGACCGGGAGAGGUGAGUGGAAUUCCCAGUGUAGCGGUGAAAUGCGCAGAUAUCAGGAAGAACACCCGUGGCGAAGGCGGUUCUCUGGGACGGUACUGACGCUGAGACGCGAAAGCGUGGGGAGCGAACAGG